rnacentral:rRNA from 1 species
UACGGAGGGUGCAAGCGUUAUCCGGAUUUACUGGGUUUAAAGGGUGCGCAGGCGGAUAUGUAAGUCAGUGGUGAAAUCUUUGGGCUUAACCCGAAAAUUGCCAUUGAUACUAUAUAUCUUGAAUGCUGUGGAGGUAAGCGGAAUAUGUCAUGUAGCGGUGAAAUGCUUAGAGAUGACAUAGAACACCUAUUGCGAAGGCAGCCCCCUGGGCUGAGAUUGACGCUCAGGCACGAAAGCGUGGGGAGCAAACAGG